CCUACGGGAGGCAGCAGUAGGGAAUAUUGGACAAUGGGCGGAAGCCUGAUCCAGCAACGCCGCGUGUGUGAAGAAGGCCUUCGGGUUGUAAAGCACUUUUCUGCGUGAAGAGAAAGGACGGUAGCGCAGGAAUAAGCAUCGGCUAACUACGUGCCAGCAGCCGCGGUAAAACGUAGGAUGCGAGCGUUAUCCGGAUUUACUGGGCGUAAAGCGCGUGUAGGCGGUGAUACAAGUCAGAUAUGAAAGCUCCUGGCUCAACUGGGAGAGGCUGUCUGAUACUGUAUGGCUAGAGUUCAAGAAAGGCAAGUGGAAUUCCGGGUGUAGUGGUGAAAUGCGUAGAGAUCCGGAGGAACACCAGAGGCGAAAGCGGCUUGCUGGCUUGACACUGACGCUGAGACGCGACAGCGUGGGUAGCGAACGGGAUUAGAAACCCCGGUAGUCCACGCCGUAAACGAUGUCAACUAGGCGUAGGCGGUCUUGACCCCGUCUGUGCCGAAGCCAACGCGAUAAGUGACCGCCUGGGAAGUACGGCCGCAAGGUUAAACUCAAAGGAAUUGACGG
rnacentral:rRNA from 1 species